rnacentral:rRNA from 1 species
GCCCCACAAAGCCCUUGUGAGGUGUAGCCUGCCCAAUGGCUGUUAAUAAACUCUAAAGACAGCUAAAUGGCCGCGGUAACUCUGACCGUGAUAAAGUAGCAUAAUCACUCGUCACUUAAUUGGUGACUGGAAUGAAUGGCUAAACGAACCCCCCUCUGUCUCCAAGAAAAUUCCGGCGAACUUGAAAUGACAGUGAAGAUGCUGUCAAGCAACUGUAAGACGAAAAGACCCUAUCGAGCUUUACUGGAAGCUUGCAGAUUUAAAAGGACGUUAACCUGCACGUCUUCAAAAACUGCAAGCCCGACAGUUUGGUUGGGGCGACCACCCCUAAGAAAGUAUCAGGGGAACUCUAAAGGUAAUUACUAAAUGGAAAAUGCCUUACUGAAAACAAACAAGUCAACCAGUUACUAUAGGUAGGACAUAAUGACCCGUUACAUCAAUCACGAAAUGUAACGACCACGAAAAAAGUUACCGUAGGGAUAACAGGGUAAUAUUUUCGGAGAGUUCAUAUCGAUGAAAAUGUUUGCCACCUCGAUGUUGAAUUGUGAUAUCCUAGGGGUGCAGCAGCUCCUAAGGGUUG